CCAAUCGAACUCGGAGAUAGCUGGUUCUCCUCGAAAUAGCUUUAGGGCUAGCGUCGAUUAACUGAGUACUGGAGGUAGAGCACUGAAUAGGCUAGGGGGCAUACCGCUUACCGAACCUUAUCAAACUCCGAAUGCCAGAUACUUUUAUUUCGGCAGUCAGACUGCGAAUGAUAAGAUCCGUAGUCAAAAGGGAAACAGCCCAGACCAUCAGCUAAGGU
rnacentral:rRNA from 1 species